GAUGAACGCUAGCGAUAGGCCUAACACAUGCAAGUCGAGGGGCAGCAUAAGGAAGUAGCAAUACUUUCUGGUGGCGACCGGCGCACGGGUGAGUAACACGUAUGCAACCUGCCUUCAACAAGGGCAUAACCCGUUGAAAGACGGACUAAUACCCUAUAAUACAGGGGCCCCGCAUGGGGAUAUUUGUUAAAGAUUUAUCGGUUGAAGAUGGGCAUGCGUUCCAUUAGCUGGUUGGUGGGGUAACGGCCCACCAAGGCAACGAUGGAUAGGGGAACUGAGAGGUUUAUCCCCCACACUGGGACUGAGACACGGCCCAGACUCCUACGGGAGGCAGCAGUGGGGAAUUUUGGACAAUGGGCGCAAGCCUGAUCCAGCCAUGCCGCGUGAGUGAAGAAGGCCUCGGUUGUAAGACUCUUCGCAAGGGAAGAAAACGUAGUAGGGCGUAAUAUCCUGUCGCGGAUGACGGUACCUUGACAAGAAGCACCGGCUAAC
rnacentral:rRNA from 1 species